GCAAGUCGAACGGUAACAGGUCUUCGGAUGCUGACGAGUGGCGAACGGCUGAGUAAUAUAUCGGAACGUGCCCAGUCGUGGGGGAUAACGUAGCGAAAGUUACGCUAAUACCGCAUACGAUCUACGGAUGAAAGCGGGGGAUCGCAAGACCUCGCGCGAUUGGAGCGGCCGAUAUCAGAUUAGGUAGUUGGUGGGGUAAAGGCUCACCAAGCCAACGAUCUGUAGCUGGUCUGAGAGGACGACCAGCCACACUGGAACUGAGACACGGUCCAGACUCCUACGGGAGGCAGCAGUGGGGAAUUUUGGACAAUGGACGCAAGUCUGAUCCAGCCAUUCCGCGUGCAGGAUGAAGGCCCUCGGGUUGUAAACUGCUUUUGUACGGAACGAAAAGGUCUCUAUUAAUACUAGGGGCUCAUGACGGUACCGUAAGAAUAAGCACCGGCUAACUACGUGCCAGCAGCCGCGGUAAUACGUAGGGUGCAAGCGUUAAUCGGAAUUAUUGGGCGUAAAGAGCUCGUAGGUGGUUCGUCACGUCGGAUGUGAAACUCUGGGGCUUAACCCCAGACCUGCAUUCGAUACGGGCGAGCUUGAGUAUGGUAGGGGAGUCUGGAAUUCCUGGUGUAGCGGUGGAAUGCGCAGAUAUCAGGAGGAACACCAAUGGCGAAGGCAGGACUCUGGGCCAUUACUGACACUGAGGAGCGAAAGCGUGGGGAGCGAACAGGAUUAGAUACCCUGGUAGUCCACGCCGUANACGGUGGGCACUAGUUGUGGGGACCUUCCACGGUCUCUGCGACGCAGCUAACGCAUUAAGUGCCCCGCCUGGGGAGUACGAUCGCAAGAUUAAAACUCAAAGGAAUUGACGGGGCCCCGCACAAGCAGCGGAGCAUGCGGCUUAAUUCGACG
rnacentral:rRNA from 1 species